AGUGAACGCUGGCGGUAGGCCUAACACAUGCAAGUCGAACGGCAGCACAGUAAGAGCUUGCUCUUACGGGUGGCGAGUGGCGGACGGGUGAGGAAUACAUCGGAAUCUACUUUUUCGUGGGGGAUAACGUAGGGAAACUUACGCUAAUACCGCAUACGACCUACGGGUGAAAGCAGGGGAUCUUCGGACCUUGCGCGAUUGAAUGAGCCGAUGUCGGAUUAGCUAGUUGGCGGGGUAAAGGCCCACCAAGGCGACGAUCCGUAGCUGGUCUGAGGGGAUGAUAAGCCACACUGGAACUGAGACACGGUCCAGACUACUAAGGGAGGCAGCAGUGGGGAAUAUUGGACAAUGGGCGCAAGCCUGAUCCAGCCAUACCGCGUGGGUGAAGAAGGCCUUCGGGUUGUAAAGCCCUUUUGUUGGGAAAGAAAAGCAGCAGGUUAAUACCCCGCUGUUCUGACGGUACCCAAAGAAUAAGCACCGGCUAACUUCGUG
rnacentral:rRNA from 1 species